UUUCCGUAGGUGAACCUGCGGAAGGAUCAUUAUUGUAUAACCGAGGUGCGAGGGCUGUUGAUGAACCGACAGGUCGAGCACGCCCGAGUGCUCACACAAACAUACAUCUCACCCCUAUGUGAACCACCGCGUGGGACCCUCUUUGGUUAGAUCGGAGGGGGGCUUAAGUUUUCACACAAAAUUUGUAUGAAGAGUAGAAUGUAUUUAUUGACAUUGCGAAAAAGCAAACAAUACAACUCUCAACAACGGAACUAUUGGAUCACGUAGCGAUGAAGAACG
rnacentral:misc_RNA from 1 species